rnacentral:rRNA from 1 species
UGGGGAAUAUUGCACAAUGGGCGCAAGCCUGAUGCACCCAUGCCGCGUGUAUGAAGAAGGCCUUCGGGUUGUAAAGUACUUUCAGCGGGGAGGAAGGGAGUAAAGUUAAUACCUUUGCUCAUUCACGUUACCCGCAGAAGAAGCACCGGCUAACUCCGUGCCAGCCGCCGCGGUAAUACGGAGGGCGCAAGCGUUAAUCGGAAUUCCUGGGCGUAAAGCGCACGCAGGCGGGUUGUUAAGUCAGAUGUGAAAUCCCCGGGCUCAACCUGGGGACUGGAGCUGAUACUGGCAAGCUUGAGUCUCGUAGAGGGGGGUAGAAAUCCAGGUGGAGCGGUGAAAUGCGUAGAGAUCUGGGGGGAUACCGGUGGCGAAGGCGGCCCCCUGGGCGAAGACUGACGCUCAGGGGCGAAAGGGUGGGGAGCAAAAAGG